rnacentral:rRNA from 1 species
CCCUUAGAUGUUCUGGGCCGCACGCGCGCUACACUGAUACGUUCAACGAGUCCAAAACCUUGAUUGAUAGGUCUGGGUAAUCUUUUGAAUACGUAUCGUGCUAGGGAUAGAUUAUUGCAAUUAUUAAUCUUGAACGAGGAAUUCCUAGUAAACGCAAGUCAUCAGCUUGCAUUGAUUACGUCCCUGCCCUUUGUACACACCGCCCGUCGCUCCUACCGAUUGAAUGAUCCGAUGAAUAUCAUGGAUUGAGGAUGCAAGUAGGUUAGCCUAUCUUCAUCUUCGAGAAGUGAAGUAAAUCUUAUCAUUUAGAGGAAGGAGAAGUCGUAACA